GACGUAGGGCGCGAGCGUUGUCCGGAUUUAUUGGGCGUAAAGAGCUCGUAGGCGGCUUGUCGCGUCGACUGUGAAAUCUCAGGGCUCAACUCUGACAUUGCAGUCGAUACGGGCAGGCUAGAGUUCGGUAGGGGAGACUGGAAUUCCUGGUGUAGCGGUGAAAUGCGCAGAUAUCAGGGGGAACACCGAUAGCGAAGGCAGCUCGCUGGGACGGUACUGACGCUAAGGCGCGAAAGCGUGGGGAGCGAACAGG
rnacentral:rRNA from 1 species